rnacentral:rRNA from 1 species
AUGGCGGCUUCCUCGCUGUGGGACGAGCUGGUGGUGGCGGCGUCGACGGGGGGGAGCAGCGGCACCGUGGUGUCCAUCUGCGUGUUCACGGCGGUGCUCUGCCUCUGCCUCGUCGCCGGCCACCUCCUCGAGGAGAACAAAUGGGUCAACGAGUCCAUCACCGCGCUCAUCAUCGGGUGCAUUGUUGGGGCUCUCAUCUUUCUGCUGAGCAAAGGCAGGAACUCGCACAUCCUGAGGUUCGACGAGCAGCUCUUCUUCAUCUACGUUCUUCCUCCGAUAAUCUUCAACGCCGGGUUCCAGGUCAAGAAGAAGCAGUUCUUCCAUAACUUCCUCACCAUCAUGUCCUUUGGGGUAUUCGGGGUUUUCAUCUCGGUCGCAAUAGUUUCCGCAGGUUUCUACUGGCUCCUUCCAAAAGUUGGUUUUGGCAAACUUGACGCGGUGGAUUAUCUAGCACUGGGAGUCAUAUUCUCUUCGACAGAUACUGUGUGCACGCUGCAGGUCAUAAGCCAAGAUGAGACACCGAGGUUGUACAGCUUGGUCUUCGGAGAAGGAGUUGUCAAUGAUGCAACGUCUGUGGUCCUAUUCAAUGCUAUAAAGAAUAUGGAUAUCACUAAGAUCAAAAGCGGGGCGGUGCUAAAAGUUAUCGGAGAUUUCCUCUAUCUUUUUGCAACUAGUACUAUCCUUGGCGCCACAAUCGGACUGUUCACUGCUUAUGUUCUCAAAGCACUGUAUUUUGGCAGGCACUCGACUGACCGAGAGGUCGCUUUAAUGGCUCUCAUGGCUUAUUUAUCGUAUAUGUUAGCAGAGUUGUUAAGUCUGAGUGGGAUUUUGACUGUUUUCUUUUGCGGCAUCGUCAUGUCCCACUAUGCAUGGCAUAAUGUAACAGAGAGCUCCCGAAUCACGACAAGGCACAUAUUUGCGACACUAUCAUUCAUCGCUGAGACCUUUAUCUUUCUUUAUGUUGGAAUGGAUGCCCUUGACAUGGAUAAAUGGAAGACAACACAGGCAAGCUUCAAGACCUCAAUUGGUAUUUUUGGUGUCAUCAUUUCACUCAUUUUGCUGGGACGGGCCGCGUUUGUUUUCCCUCUUUCGAUCCUUUCAAAUUUUAUGAGUGGGAAUUCUGAAAAAGCACCAAUCACAUUCAAGCACCAGGUCGUGAUUUGGUGGGCCGGGCUCAUGAGAGGCGCUGUUUCAAUCGCGCUAGCAUACAAUCAGUUCACAUUUUCAGGUGUAACACAGGAUCCAGUCCAUGCAACCAUCAUCACCAGUACAAUUGUCGUAGUAUUUUUCACAACCCUGGUGUUUGGCUUCUUGACGAGGCCGAUGAUAAGCGCCAUGCUCCCGCAGCAUCGGCACCGGGAGCCGGCGGGAGGCCGCAGCACGGGAAGCAACUCGCCGAAGGACGAGUUCAUCCUGCCGUUCCUCGGCGACGAAGACGCGUCGGGGAGUGGAAGCGGCUUCGUCCAAGCCAAGAGAAGCAUAUCAAUGAUGUUGGAGAGACCCAUCCACACGGUGCACAUCUACUGGAGGAAGUUCGACGACAGGUUCAUGAGACCAAUCUUCGGUGGACCACGAUCUUACUGA